GCUGGGCGUGGUGGCUCACACCUGUGGUCCCAGCUACUGGGAGGCUGAGGUGGGAAAAUCGCUUGAACCCAGGAGGUUGAGGCUGCAGUGAGCCAUGAUCACGCCACUGCACUCCCGUCUGGGUGACAGAGUGAGACCCUGCCUCCA
rnacentral:sRNA from 1 species